GAUUUUGAAGGGUUGAGAGGAAAUAGCAACUAUCCUUCUCAGACGCCCACUCACAUGUCACAACUUCAAUUUUCUCUCUCUAUCCUGGAGAGUAGAAAUAAAAUUAGCAUUCGCGAGUUUGAGUUUGAUAUGAAGGUUUUGGUGGCUCCAUUGAGGGGAUCAUGUUCUGUUGAAGGUUGUCGUUGCGGUUGUUGAACUCGUUUCGAUAUAUCUCAAUAUUCAGAAUAGCCAUGUAUUAGAGAACUAUUUGGAGUAAUUGCAUUGGCUUGAGCAAUGAAAAAUUCAGAAUCUGAUUGCUGCUCCAAUCUUCUUGAUUCAUCAUCAGUAACUGUUACUAAAAGAACAUUCUCUCCCGGAAACUCCCUUUCUAGAUGCUACAAACACACACUUCGAUCAAACCUUGGUCACAUUUUGAAGAACAAGUUUUCAGGAAGCGUUAUGAACUGAAUUACCUGCCAAAAAGGGUAGUAACCACGCUUUUCAUGAGCAUACAAGAAGAAUUCUGUGCCAUUGCCACUCGGCCAAAACUUGUAAGGAAACUUGAGGAAUAUUUUGGUAUAGAUAGCCAUAUUGAACUGGUCCAAAGCAAGGAUCUUCCAUUGCUGUGUGCAUCAUAGGAUAAAUUUUCAAGGUCAAGCCAGUUCUGUAGGUUUCGCAGCAAUGGAGAAAAGAAAAUAUGGGGUUAUGACUUGUAACUGGAACUAUAACACACCGGCAAGGAAGGAUGAAAUUUGAUAAGAUCGUUCUGAAGGACACCAAGACUGGCAGAGACAAUGACAUAGUCGGCUCUGUGCACCAAGCCAUCCUCUGUCUUGACAGCCACACCCCUUGGGGAACGGCUUAUUUCAGUCACCACCUGAGAUGAGUUUGUGCAUCAAUAGUCGGAAUUAGUAGUUAGUUGGAUUAGACCAUGAAAUACGAUAUAGCAAGGUGAAAUGAACUUCUAACGACCUUUUUAAGUUGAAGACGAGGAUCAGUGAUUUGUCCAGCUGCAUUUGUGGUGAGAAACUGCUGUGCUACAUAAUGAACAACACUCUCAUAACCCCUUGGAUCUGAGACAAAGUAAGAAUCCUCACCGAAGUUGGAGUAUGUAGAAGAUGGCUCAGAGUUCAGCAAGCUUGUGGCUCUUGGUGGCUCCGCACUCUCAAAAUCACACAGGUAGUAGUCAAUGACCAUCUCAAGGGGUGUUUUGGGAAAACUGACAAAUCAGUUCACAAAAGUUCAGUGUUUUCUUUGAUCAAUAUGAUUGAAAGAUUUAACAUGUGCCUGAUGCUCAAGAAAGUUUAUUCACCGGAACGAUGAAAAAUUUCAGGGAUUUUAAUGAUGCUUCCGAAAUCGGCUGAGAGCACAUAGCAAGGACUAAAGAAAGUUGGGCGUUUGGGCAUUUGGUCGGUAGGAAAGAAUUUGGAGAUAGAUAUUCUAUCAUUGAAUUGAAGUAUUCAUGAGUCAUGUAGUUAUUUUGAUUUUGAUUUCAAUAUUUGAAUGUGGUUCAGGAACCACAUAAAUCAAGAACAUACAUGUUAUUGUGAAUUACUAUGUUACGUGUCAUCAAAAGUAGUUCUCAUUUCUUUGAAAAUGUUUUGAUCUAUAUAGUUUAUGAAGUUAAAUAGAUGACGACAUUGUUUUUUUUUUUUU